CCUACGGGUGGCAGCAGUGAGGAAUAUUGGUCAAUGGCCGUAAGGCUGAACCAGCCAAGUCGCGUGAAGGAAGAAGGAUCUAUGGUUUGUAAACUUCUUUUAUAGGGGAAUAAAGGUAUCCACGUGUGGAUAUUUGCAUGUACCCUAUGAAUAAGCAUCGGCUAACUCCGUGCCAGCAGCCGCGGUAAUACGGAGGAUCCGAGCGUUAUCCGGAUUUAUUGGGUUUAAAGGGAGCGUAGGGGGAUUGUUAAGUCAGUUGUGAAAGUUUGCGGCUGAAACAUAAAAUUGCCGUUGAAACUGGAAGACUUGAGUGUGUUUGAGGUAGGCGGAAUGCGUGGUGUAGCGGUGAAAUGCAUAGAUAUCACGCAGAACUCCGAUUGCGAAGGCAGCUUACUAAGCCAUAACUGACACUGAAGCACGAAAGCGUGUGGAUCAAACAGGAUUAGAUACCCCUGUAGUC
rnacentral:rRNA from 1 species